ACUCAAAUGAAUUGACGGGGGCCCGCACAAGCAGCGGAGCAUGUGGUUUAAUUCGACGCAACGCGAAGAACCUUACCAAGGCUUGACAUGCAGUCGCCGCACGUGGAAACACGUGUUUCCUUCGGGACGGCUGCACAGGUGGUGCAUGGCUGUCGUCAGCUCGUGUCGUGAGAUGUUGGGUUAAGUCCCGCAACGAGCGCAACCCUUGUCCUGUGUUGCCAGCGCGCCUUCGGGUGGCGGGGACUCACAGGAGACUGCCGGUGACAAACCGGAGGAAGGUGGGGAUGACGUCAAGUCAGCAUGCCCCUUAUGUCUUGGGCUACACACGUGCUACAAUGGCCGGUACAAAGGGCUGCAAACCCGCGAGGGGGAGCGAAUCCCAAAAAGCCGGUCCCAGUUCGGAUUGCAGGCUGAAACUCGCCUGCAUGAAGGCGGAGUUGCUAGUAAUCGCGGAUCAGCUACGCCGCGGUGAAUACGUUCCCGGGCCUUGUACACACCGCCCGU
rnacentral:rRNA from 1 species